rnacentral:rRNA from 1 species
CGGACGGGUGAGUAACGCGUGGGUAGCCUACCCUGUACACACGGAUAACAUACCGAAAGGUAUGCUAAUACGGGAUAAUAUAUUUGAGAGGCAUCUCUUGAAUAUCAAAGGUGAGCCAGUACAGGAUGGACCCGCGUCUGAUUAGCUAGUUGGUAAGGUAACGGCUUACCAAGGCGACGAUCAGUAGCCGACCUGAGAGGGUGAUCGGCCACAUUGGAACUGAGACACGGUCCAA